GGUAAGGGUUAAGGGCCAAGUCCCCUAGGAGGUAAGGGUUAAGGGCCAAGUCCCCUAGGAGGUAAGGGUUAAGGGCCAAGUCCCCUAGGAGGUAAGGGUUAAGGGCCAAGUCCCCUAGGAGGUAAGGGUUAAGGGCCAAGUCCCCUAGGAGGUAAGGGUUAAGGGCCAAGUCCCCUAGGAGGUAAGGGUUAAGGGCCAAGUCCCCUAGGAGGUAAGGGUUAAGGGCCAAGUCCCCUAGGAGGUAAGGGUUAAGGGCCAAGUCCCCUAGGAGGUAAGGGUUAAGGGCCUAGUCCCCUAGGAGGUAAGGGUUAAGGGCCUAGUGCCCUAG